UUCAGUAUUGACCUGUGUGCAUCCCCUGACAUUACAGACCAAGCAAGAAAUGAUGCUAACUCUUCGGAAUGUCAAGCUACAGGAGCCAAGGACCGGGGCAGGAAGCCUUCACACAAAAACCCGGAAGGUUACGGGAUUGACUGCUCUCCCCCCAUCUACAGAAGCAAUUGUCUGCAAGUGCACAGAGGCCAUGGGGAGGGUCACUGCAAGGCCGUGGAAGAGCGGGGAAAUGUAGAUGUCAGCAGAGGAGGUCAGGCAUCUUAUCCCUGGGACUUGAGUGAGCCAUCUUAUGCAUGUUGGGAAUUGAACCUGGGUCCUCUGCAAGAACAAGUGCUCUUACCCAAGCGCUCAUCACAAUAGCCAAACGCAGAACCAGCAAAGGUGCCUGUCAACAGAUGAACGGACAAAGGACGUGCAGAAUGCACACACACCGUGGAGUUUCUAGUUUUCCACAGCAGAGUUUCAUUGCCAUGAACAAGAGUGAAACUAUGCCAUUUGCAGGAAGACGGAUGCAGUAGGAGAUCGCUGUGUGAAGCGAAAUCAGAAAAACUCA